AACAAAAAGAAAAGAGCUGCCAGAGCUAACUGCAAAUGUAUAUGUUGUUUUCGCGACAAAAAUAAUAAUACUUGUCACAAGAGACUAGGGUGUCUGAGUGUAAUUAAAAGAGUCUAAAAAUAUCUACGUAUAUACGAAAAACUUCUCUGUCUUUUCCCAGUGUAUAUAUUGAUACACUCCUGUCAUUACCCAAAAUAAAAACAAUGUCUCUAAUUGUUUUUUCUAUAUAAAAAGAAAGGUAUAUUUAUUACCAAAAAC